rnacentral:rRNA from 1 species
GUUUAUCAAAAACAUUGCCACUUGAAAUACUCAUAAGUGGUAAAUCCUGCCCCAUGGAAAACUAAAUGGCCGCGGUAUCCUGACCGUGCAAAGGUAGCAUAAUCACUUGCCUAUUAAUUGUAGGCUAGCAUGAAUGGACUAACGAAGUCACUCCUAUCUACUUUAAGUAAAUAAAACCUAAUCUCUAAGUGAAGAAGCUUAGAUUUACCCGCAGGACAAGAAGACCCUAUAGAGCUUUACCUUCCCUCUACAUCAAUAGAAGACUACAGUUCGGUUGGGGCGACCAGAGAACCUAAACCCUCUCUUAAUCUAAAGAACUACUUAUCACCUACCUAGAUCCUAAAUUCAGAUCCAAGAAAUCAGCUACCUUAGGGAUAACAGGCUAAUUUUCCUAGAGAGCCCUUAUUAACAGGAAAGAUUGGCACCUCGAUGUUGGCUUAGGACCUCUUUAUGGUGCAGCCGCCAUAAAUAGAUGGUUUGUUCAACCAUUAAAAUCCUACGUGAUCUGAGUUCAGACCGGA